rnacentral:rRNA from 1 species
GGGAGGCAGCAGUAAGGAAUAUUGGACAAUGGAGGCAACUCUGAUCCAGCCAUCCCGCGUGGAGGAAUAAGGCCCUAUGGGUUGUAAACUCCUUUAGCUAGGGAAUAAAUCAGUGGAUUCAUCCGCUGUUGAAGGUACCUAGAGAAUAAGCACCGGCUAACUCCGUGCCAGCAGCCG